rnacentral:rRNA from 1 species
CCUACGGGAGGCAGCAGUGAGGAAUAUUGGUCAAUGGACGAGAGUCUGAACCAGCCAAGUAGCGUGAAGGAUGACUGCCCUAUGGGUUGUAAACUUCUUUUAUAAAGGAAUAAAACGAGGCACGUGUGCCUUUUUGCAUGUACUUUAUGAAUAAGGAUCGGCUAACUCCGUGCCAGCAGCCGCGGUAAUACGGAGGAGCCGAGCGUUAUCCGGAUUUCUUGGGUUUAAAGGGAGCGUAGAUGGGUUGUUAAGUCAGUUGUGAAAGUUUGCGGCUCAACCGUAAAAUUGCAAUUGAUACUGGCAGUCUUGAGUACAGUUGAGGUAGGCGGAAUUCGUGGUGUAGCGGUGAAAUGCUUAGAUAUCACGAAGAACCCCGAUUGCGAAGGCAGCUUACUAAACUGUGACUGACAUUGAUGCUCGAAAGUGUGGGUAUCAAACAGGAUUAGAUACCCCAGUAGUC